rnacentral:rRNA from 1 species
UACGGGGGGGGCAAGCGUUGUUCGGAAUUACUGGGCGUAAAGGGCUCGUAGGCGGCCAACUAAGUCGGAUGUGAAAUCCCCAGGCUCAACCUGGGAACUGCAUCCGAUACUGGAUGGCUUGAAUCCGGGAGAGGGAUGCAGAAUUCCUGGUGUAGCGGUGAAAUGCGCAGAUAUCAGGGGGAACACCGAUGGCGAAGGCAGUGAUCUGGGCCGGUACUGACGCUGAGGAGCGAAAGCGUGGGUAGCAAACAGG